rnacentral:rRNA from 1 species
UACGUAGGGGGCGAGCGUUGUCCGGAUUUAUUGGGCGUAAAGAGCUCGUAGGCGGCUUGGCAAGUCGGGUGUGAAACCUCCAGGCUCAACCUGGAGACGCCACUCGAUACUGCUAUGGCUAGAGUCCGGUAGGGGACCACGGAAUUCCUGGUGCAGCGGUGAAAUGCGCAGAUAUCAGGAGGAACACCGGUGGCGAAGGCGGAUCUCUGGGCCAUUACUGACGCUGAGGAGCGAAAGCGUGGGGAGCGAACAGG